rnacentral:rRNA from 1 species
AACGAACGCUGGCGGCAUGCCUAACACAUGCGAGUCGAACGAGACCUUCGGGUCUAGUGGCGCACGGGUGCGUAACGCGUGGGAAUCUGCCCUUCGGUUGGGAAUAACUGAGAGAAAUUUCAGCUAAUACCUUAUAAUGUCUUCGGACCAAAGAUUUAUCGCCGAGGGAUGAGCCCGCGUAGGAUUAGGUAGUUGGUGGGGUAAUGGCCUACCAAGCCGACGAUCCUUAGCUGGCCUGAGAGGAUGAUCAGCCACACUGGGACUGAGACACGGCCCAGACUCCUACGGGAGGCAGCAGUGGGGAAUAUUGGACAAUGGGCGAAAGCCUGAUCCAGCAAUGCCGCGUGAGUGAUGAAGGCCUUAGGGUUGUAAAGCUCUUUUACCCGGGAUGAUAAUGACAGUACCGGGAGAAUAAGCGCCGGCUAACUCCGUG